CGCGCUGUCAACUUGAGGAUCAGAAUGCAUUGGCAUAGUGAGGAGACGUCUGGGCAUCAAGUUCUGCAGAGAGAAGAUUUAGCUGGAACAAAUCCUGGCGCCAAUCAGAGAGCAGCACUACUGAAAUAGAACUCCCAGGAGGUAACAGCGUGUCACACAUGUGAUGUCAUAACCAUUGUCCACCAAAGAGCAGCACUGAGCAGAAAUAACACUGCUCCUGUUCAUUCUCCAUCAGUGAGGGGCCGGUGCUGGACACUGUGUAGGGACGCGGGAAUGCAAAGUCAUACACAUGACUGUGACUGAUGCACUAUCUCCAGGACAUGGAGUAGCAUUUCCGGACCUACAGCAAGACGUUGGAUGAAGGCAUAGCCCCAGAAAUAACACUGGUCCUGUUCAUCAGUGAGGGGCCGGUGCUGGACACUGUGUAGGGACACGGGAAUGCAAAGUCAUGCACAUGACUGUGACUGAUGCACUAUUUCCAGGACAUGGAGUAGCAUUUCGGGACCUACAGCAAGACGUUGGAUGAAGGCACAGGCCUAGGAAUCAUGCACAUACACAGAAACAUUUGCCCAAAUUAUAGAGGUAACCUCCUUUAGUAUGCCCAGAGGAAGGGCCAUACAGUAGCCAUGGAUUCCCUACAGGUUUCCUCCCCUCUGGAGGUUUUUCCUGUCCUGAGUAUUAGUUACUGUACGCUCUUUGUGAGUGAUGGGAGGUUACAAAAAAUCCCCUACACAAACAUUUUAAUAAAUAAUAAAUAAAGUUCCCCUUUUUUUAAACUGUUC